rnacentral:rRNA from 1 species
GAUGAACGCUGGCGGCGUGCCUAAUACAUGCAAGUCGAGCGAACGGACGAGAAGCUUGCUUCUCUGAUGUUAGCGGCGGACGGGUGAGUAACACGUGGAUAACCUACCUAUAAGACUGGGAUAACUUCGGGAAACCGUAGCUAAUACCGGAUAAUAUUUUGAACCGCAUGGUUCAAAAGUGAAAGACGGUCUUGCUGUCACUUAUAGAUGGAUCCGCGCUGCAUUAGCUCGUUGGUAAGGUACCGGCUUACCAAGGCAACGAUGCAUAGCCGACCUGAGAGGGUGAUCGGCCACACUGGAACUGAGACACGGUCCAGACUCCUACGGGAGGCAACAGUAGGGAAUCUUCCGCAAUGGGCGAAAGCCUGACGGAGCAAAGCCGCGUGAGUGAUGAAGGUCUUCGGAUCGUAAAACUCUGUUAUUAGGGAAGAACAUAUGUGUAAGUAACUGUGCACAUCUUGACGGUACCUAAUCAGAAAGCCACGGCUAACUACGUG